rnacentral:rRNA from 1 species
AGUGAACGCUGGCGGUAGGCCUAACACAUGCAAGUCGAACGGCAGCACAGUAAGAGCUUGCUCUUACGGGUGGCGAGUGGCGGACGGGUGAGGAAUACAUCGGAAUCUACUUUUUCGUGGGGGAUAACGUAGGGAAACUUACGCUAAUACCGCAUACGACCUACGGGUGAAAGCAGGGGAUCUUCGGACCUUGCGCGAUUGAAUGAGCCGAUGUCGGAUUAGCUAGUUGGCGGGGUAAAGGCCCACCAAGGCGACGAUCCGUAGCUGGUCUGAGAGGAUGAUCAGCCACACUGGAACUGAGACACGGUCCAGACUCCUACGGGAGGCAGCAGUGGGGAAUAGUGGACAAUGGGCGCAAGCCUGAUCCAGCCAGACCGCGUGGGUGAAGAAGGCGUUCGGGUUGUAAAGCCCUUUUGUUGGGAAAGAAAAGCAGCAGGUUAAUACCCCGCUGUUCUGACGGUACCCAAAGAAUAAGCACCGGCUAACUUCGUG